CUCCAACAGCCACUUUCCAACCUGUUGAGCUGCCUGCAGGCUCUGUGUGGUGUGCUCCAGGUCCUCAGCUUUGUGAGCUGUCACCCACACUGGGGUGGCCUUUGGUGAUACAGCUGUCUUUGAGUCAUUUCUGCUCCUGUUAACCAGAUAUAGGACUCCUCUGUCUUGCUACGAUGGACAGCCACAAGGAUUCACUUGAAUAAAAGAAGCAACAGUGGGUGCCAGGCUGUUUGAAUUCUUAUUCGGGGUCCAGAGAGAUGGGUAAGAGCAUUUGUUGCUCUUGCAGCGGACCUGGGUUUGGUGUCUAACAUCCAUGUGGUGGCUCACAUCCAUCAGUAACUCCAUUCGAGGAGAUCCAAUACCCUCUACUGCCCUCCUCUAGUACCACACAGAAAUGUGCUGUUUUGUUAUACAUUUAUUACAAAGAAUCUCACAAAAAGAAAAUAUUUCAAAAAGAAUGCCAGGCUAAAGAACCUCCACCUGGAGAACUGGGG
rnacentral:lncRNA from 1 species